rfam:Enterococcus thailandicus strain F0711D 46 Ent-16_S35_L001_001_1, whole genome shotgun sequence.
GUCGCUGUGGCUGAAUGGUGAAAGCUCAUCUAUCUUCUAGGUGCAACCUGCAAGGUUCGAUUCCUUGCCAGCGACU